AGCCCCUAGCGCAGACGGCGGAGAGCAGAGAGGGAGCGCGCCUUGGCUCGCUGGCCUUGGCGGCGGCUCCUCAGGAGAGCUGGGGCGCCCACGAGAGGAUCCCUCACCCGGGUCUCUCCUCAGGGAUGACAUCAUCCGUCCACCUCCUUGUCUUCAAGGACCACCUCCUCUCCAUGCUGAGCUGCUGCCAAGGGGCCUGCUGCCCAUCUACACCUCACGAGGGCACUAGGAGCACGGUUUCCUGGAUCCCACCAACAUACAAAGCAGCCACUCACUGACCCCCAGGACCAGGAUGGCAAAGGAUGAAGAGGACCGGAACUGACCAGCCAGCUGUCCCUCUUACCUAAAGACUUAAACCAAUGCCCUAGUGAGGGGGCAUUGGGCAUUAAGCCCUGACCUUUGCUAUGCUCAUACUUUGACUCUAUGAGUACUUUCCUAUAAGUCUUUGCUUGUGUUCACCUGCUAGCAAACUGGAGUGUUUCCCUCCCCAAGGGGGUGUCAGUCUUUGUCGACUGACUCUGUCAUCACCCUUAUGAUGUCCUGAAUGGAAGGAUCCCUUUGGGAAAUUCUCAGGAGGGGGACCUGGGCCAAGGGCUUGGCCAGCAUCCUGCUGGCAACUCCAAGGCCCUGGGUGGGCUUCUGGAAUGAGCAUGCUACUGAAUCACCAAAGGCACGCCCGACCUCUCUGAAGAUCUUCCUAUCCUUUUCUGGGGGAAUGGGGUCGAUGAGAGCAACCUCCUAGGGUUGUUGUGAGAAUUAAAUGAGAUAAAAGAGGCCUCAGGCAGGAUCUGGCAUAGAGGAGGUGAUCAGCAAAUGUUUGUUGAAAAGGUUUGACAGGUCAGUCCCUUCCCACCCCUCUUGCUUGUCUUACUUGUCUUAUUUAUUCUCCAACAGCACUCCAGGCAGCCCUUGUCCACGGGCUCUCCUUGCAUCAGGGCUAAUCUCGGGCCUUGUCGAAGGAAGAGGCUGCAGACGUUAAUGAGGUUAGCUGCUGGAUUCCAGUAUUCGUCGCAUAAGGAUCCUUCUUUGUCUGCGAAGGAAAAACACACUGAUUAUCAUAAUGAGCAGGUUCCCAGUGCCCCCGACAAGCCCCUGCUGGUGUCUCCAUCUCCUGCCAAGCAUCCUCCAGUGCCUCCUCCUGUGGGCCUGGCCUCAGGGCUAUGGACAGACUCCUGUCCCAUCCCAGAGACCCCUCGUGAUCGUGCCCUGGCACGUGGGCCGUGGCCCGGCUGGGUCGGCUGAAGAACUGCGGAUGGAAGCUGCGGAAGAGGCCCUGAUGGGGCCCACCAUCCCGGACCCAAGUCUUCUUCCUGGCGGGCCUCUCGUCUCCUUCCUGGUUUGGGCGGAAGCCAUCACCUGGAUGCCUACGUGGGAAGGGACCUCGAAUGUGGGACCCCAGCCCCUCUCCAGCUCGAAAUCCCUCCACAGCCACGGGGACACCCUGCACCUAUUCCCACGGGACAGGCUGGACCCAGAGACUCUGGACCCGGGGCCUCCCCUUGAGUAGAGACCCGCCCUCUGACUGAUGGACGCCGCUGACCUGGGGUCAGACCCGUGGGCUGGACCCCUGCCCACCCCGCAGGAACCCUGAGGCCUAGGGGAGCUGUUGAGCCUUCAGUGUCUGCAUGUGGGAAGUGGGCUCCUUCACCUACCUCACAGGGCUGUUGUGAGGGGCGCUGUGAUGCGGUUCCAAAGCACAGGGCUUGGCGCACCCCACUGUGCUCUCAAUAAAUGUGUUUCCUGUCUUAACAA
rnacentral:lncRNA from 1 species